CGUAAGGUACAGCCCAAAGACCCCUAAAGAAAUUGUAAUGACUUCAGUGAGUUUUCAAGUACAUUUAGACUCAAAACUACUAACUGACCUCCAAGUCCACAUGUGGAGGAGGUUGUCAUGAUUGAUUGGGUGGAGACUGGGCUCCAUAUCCCCAGUGAAACUACAGUUUUUAGACUGAUUUUUUAUUUUGAGGCUUUUAAAUUGUCACAUUAAGGUUGACCAUAAAAAAACAACAUCUCCCAUGUGCAAAAUUAUAUUUAAGGAGUUAUUCGCAAUUUUGCGACUGAAAACUUAACUUCCAUCAACAGCAGGGGGCAGUAGUGUAGCAGACACCACCAUCUUAUAACAUCCUCAUGUUGCAUUAGCCUGUUUUCUGUUUCACAUGUUAACUGAUUUUUCCAUAAGUCCUACUCUGUACAUUAUGACAGAAAUCAUUUUGUUUUAUCAGAUAAAACAUAUUUUAUUAUUUUAUUUAAACAGA